UACGGAGGAGGCAAGCGUUAUCCGGAAUUAUCGGGCGUAAAGCGUCCGUAGAUGGUUUUGUCAGUCUGCUGUCAAAGCACAGGGCUUAACCCUGUAAAGGCAGUGGAAACUACAAGACUAGAGUGCAGUAGGGGCAGAGGGAAUUCCCAGUGUAGCGGUGAAAUGCGUAGAGAUUGGGAAGAACAUCCGUGGCGAAAGCGCUCUGCUGGACUGCAACUGACAUUGAGGGACGAAAGCUAGGGGAGCGAAUGGG
rnacentral:rRNA from 1 species